rnacentral:rRNA from 1 species
GACAGAGGGUGCAACCGUUGUUCGGAAUUACUGGGCGUAAAGCGCGUGUAGGCUGCUCAGCAAGUCGGAUGUGAAAGCCCUGGGCUUAACCUAGGAAGUGCAUUCGAAACUUCUGAGCUUGAGUUCUGGAGAGGAAGGCGGAAUUCUCGGUGUAGAGGUGAAAUUCGUAGAUAUCGAGAGGAACACCGGUGGCGAAGGCGGCCUUCUGGACAGUGACUGACGCUGAGACGCGAAAGCGUGGGGAGCAAACAGG